rnacentral:rRNA from 1 species
GAUGAACGCUGGCGGUAUGCUUAACACAUGCAAGUCGAACGGAGUUCUUAGGAACUUAGUGGCGGACGGGUGAGUAACGCGUGAGAACCUGCCUGUAAGAUGGGGACAACAGUUGGAAACGACUGCUAAUACCCGAUAAGCCGAAAGGUGAAAGAUUACAUCGCUUAGAGAGGGGCUCGCGUCCGAUUAGCUAGUUGGUGGGGUAAAGGCUUACCAAGGCAGCGAUCGGUAGCUGGUCUGAGAGGACGAGCAGCCACACUGGGACUGAGACACGGCCCAGACUCCUACGGGAGGCAGCAGUGGGGAAUUUUCCGCAAUGGGCGAAAGCCUGACGGAGCAAGACCGCGUGGGGGAGGAAGGUUCUUGGAUUGUCAACCCCUUUUCUCAGGGAAGAACGCAAUGACGGUACCUGAGGAAAAAGCAUCGGCUAACUCCGUGCCAGCCGCCGCUGUAACAC